UCUUCUCCAUUGUGUAGAGUCUUGGGAGGAUAUUGCCAGGCCCCAAGGACUGUGAACUGUCCCUUUGGAGAGAAUACAUUGGCCUUCUGUGGCCCUAAUGCACGCUGCUGUAGGAAUGAACCUACAUUGUGUACACUCUUGGGAGGAUUUUGCGAGGCCCCAAGGACUGUGAACUGUACCUUUGGAGAGAUUACAAACGUCUCCUGUGGCCCUAAUGCACGCUGCUGUAGGAAUGAACCUCCAUUGUGUACACUCUUGGGAGGAUUUUGCCAGGGCCCAAGGACUGCGAACUGUACCUAUGAAGAGAUUACAAACGUCUCCUGUGGCCCUAAUGCACUCUGCUGUAG